UGGGGAAUAUUGCACAAUGGGCGAAGCCUGAUGCAGCAACGCCGCGUGAGUGAUGAAGGCCUUCGGGUUGUAAAGCUCUGUCUUUUUGGGGACGAUGAUACGGUACCAAAGGAGGAAGCCACGGCUAACUACGUGCCAGCACCGCGGUAAUACGUAGGUGGCAGCGUUGUCCGGAUUUACUGGGGCGUAAAGGAUGCGUAGGCGGAUUUUUAAGUGAGAUGUGAAAUACCCGGGCUUAACUUGGGUGCUGCAUUUCAAACUGGGAAUCUAGAGUGCGGGAGAGGAGAAUGGAAUUCCUAUGUAGCGGUGAAAUGCGUAGAGAUUAGGAAGAAACACCAGUGGCGAAAGGCGAUUCUCUGGACCGUAACUGACGCUGAGGCAUGAAAGCGUGGGUAGCAAGCAGGAUUAGAUACCCU
rnacentral:rRNA from 1 species